CAGUCGCCACGGGAAUACGAAGGGGGCUAGCGUUGCUCGGAAUUACUGGGCGUAAAGGGAGCGUAGGCGGAUCGUUUAGUCAGGGGUGAAAUCCCGGGGCUCAACCUCGGAACUGCCUUUGAUACUGGCGAUCUUGAGUAUGGGAGAGGUGUGUGGAACUCCGAGUGUAGAGGUGAAAUUCGUAGAUAUUCGGAAGAACACCAGUGGCGAAGGCGACACACUGGCCCAUUACUGACGCUGAGGCUCGAAAGCGUGGGGAGCAAACAGGAUUAGAUACCCCCGUAGUCCCUGUCUCUUAUAC
rnacentral:rRNA from 1 species